rnacentral:rRNA from 1 species
GAUGAACGCUAGCGAUAGGCUUAACACAUGCAAGUCGAGGGGCAGCACAAGGUAGCUUGCUAUCUGGGUGGCGACCGGCGCACGGGUGCGUAACGCGUAUGCAACUUGCCCUAUACAGGAGGAUAACCCGUCGAAAGACGGACUAAUACUGCGUAUGCUCACAACUUGGCAUCAAGUGGUGAGGAAAGAAAUUCGGUAUAGGAUAGGCAUGCGUCCCAUUAGCUUGUUGGUGAGGUAACGGCUCACCAAGGCAACGAUGGGUAGGGGAACUGAGAGGUUUAUCCCCCACACUGGUACUGAGACACGGACCAGACUCCUACGGGAGGCAGCAGUAGGGAAUAUUGUGCAAUGGGCGCGAGCCUGAACCAGCCAAGUCGCGUGAAGGAUGACUGUCUUAUGGAUUGUAAACUUCUUUUAUACGGGAAUAACAAGAGUCACGUGUGACUCCCUGCAUGUACCGUAUGAAUAAGCAUCGGCUAACUCCGUG